rnacentral:lncRNA from 1 species
AUCACACUAAGAUGUUACUACACAUCUUUCAGAACAGCUGAAAUAAACCUUGGUAAUACUGAAUGUUGGCAAGGAUGUGCAGAAACGAUCCUUCAUAGACAGCUGAUGGGAAUGGAAGACGGCCCACAGACACUGAACCUAAGACGAAAGGAAAAGUUUUUCCUCCUUGACACCCCUAAAACUACUGUAUUAUAACAAGCUAUAUCACU